rnacentral:rRNA from 1 species
UGCUACCUACGGGGCGCAGCAGCCGCGGUAAUACGUAGGUGGCGAGCGUUGUCCGGAUUUACUGGGCGUAAAGGGAGCGUAGGCGGAUUUUUAAGUGAGAUGUGAAAUACUCGGGCUCAACUUGAGUGCUGCAUUUCAAACUGGAAGUCUAGAGUGCAGGAGAGGAGAAUGGAAUUCCUAGUGUAGCGGUGAAAUGCGUAGAGAUUAGGAAGAACACCAGUGGCGAAGGCGAUUCUCUGGACUGUAACUGACGCUGAGGCUCGAAAGCGUGGGGAGCAAACAGGAUUAGAAACCCGAGUAGUCCG